UUGUGCAGCCAUAUCACCCUGUAGCCCAAGCCUGGUUGCCCACUGAAGCUAAGCAGGGCUGAGCCUGAUCAGUACCUGGAUGGGAGACCUCCUGGGAAAACUAGGUUGCUGCUGGAA
ensembl:rRNA 5S_rRNA 5S ribosomal RNA